rnacentral:sRNA from 1 species
GAUCUCCGAGCGAGGCGGCAAGAUGGACGCGGGAUUUUUCCGCGGAACAAGUGCAGAACAGGAUAAUCGGUUCAGCAACAAACAGAAGAAACUACUGAAGCAGCUGAAAUUUGCAGAAUGCCUAGAAAAAAAGGUGGACAUGAGCAAAGUAAAUUUGGAGGUUAUAAAGCCUUGGAUAACAAAAAGAGUAACGGAAAUCCUUGGGUUUGAAGAUGAUGUUGUGAUUGAGUUUAUAUUCAACCAGCUGGAAGUGAAGGCCUGAACCAAAAUGGAAGUUAUUCCUUGCGUCUGAAGUAUAGCACCAUCACCUUAUUAGGUCACAGCAGAGUGAGUGUCCCAAUGUCGCUCUGACCCAACUCCCUUGAUGAUGCAGUGUGUGUUUGGAGAAUCCAGACUCCAAAAUGAUGCAAAUCAACCUGACUGGAUUUUUGAAUGGAAAAAAUGCUCGAGAAUUUAUGGGAGAACUGUGGCCCCUGCUGCUAAGUGCACAAGAAAACAUCGCGGGAAUCCCUUCUGCUUUCCUAGAACUGAAGAAAGAAGAAAUAAAACAAAGACAGAUUGAACAAGAAAAAUUGGCAUCUAUGAAAAAGCAAGAUGAAGACAAAGAUAAAAGAGAUAAGGAAGAAAAAGAAAGCAGCAGAGAAAAAAGGGAGAGGUCUCGUAGCCCAAGAAG